UUUUAAUGACAUUGCAUUAAUGUCUCAUAAUUUCACGGAAAUUUACUGAAACAUAACUCUUGAUAGAGUUUUCAUAAUACUGUCUUCAAGCUUCAUUGCAAACAGCUGAUAAAUACAAAAGGAUCCUAAGUUGAUACAACACCCACACAUACCCAUUUGCCUUAAUUUGCACCCAGGAUGUUCAAACGAAACCAUUAAAUUGCAUCCCGGAUGUCCAUUUCCUUAAAAAAACUGUAACCUAGGCAAAGAUCUGCAGUGACAAAAUUAGAGGAGUCAGCUCCCAGACGAAGUCGUGUACAUAUAAGAAGCCACAUUAUUUAUGGAUGGUUCUCGCUCACUUCCAUUAUCUCUCCCAAAAUUCUUCACGCUCCAGUCACUCUUUAUGCAUAUACUACAGGAUACUUUUUUUUUUCUCAUUCUGAGUAUGAAGCCAUGAAUAAUUUAUAGACUUAAGCUUUUGGAUUUCACCCUUCAAAUUUGCAUCCUACGUUAAGGAUGGUGGGUGACUUGGUGUCAUUACACUCAUGAUCAGAUCUGUGAUACAGUUAAUAUAGUUCUACUGUUAAAGGCAAGAAAGUCUAAGAUCAUUGCCCAUAUAUAAUCCUUCAUUUAAAUUAAAAUGUAUUCUAUUGAAAAUAAUCCUGACUCCCUAUGAAAAAAAAAUAUAUAUGAGGAAGUUUUCUUAUAAUUUUAAGGAAAUAAUCUAGAUGUAAGCUUUGUAUUCUGUUCAUUAUUAGCAAUAAUCAGGAAUUAAGCAAACACUUGUUUUCGGUUGCAUGAUUUUCCUCAGGUGAUUCUUUCUUGCCUGACCUUGAGCCCUUCUCUUGAAGUGAGGUGCUUAGAAUGCUUCCCCAGGCUUGGGGGUUUCAAGCCAGGGUCGUUUUCGAGAGCCCCUCCAGCUUCCCACAGUUGAACCCAAAGUGAACUUUUCAUCUUCUUCAGAGAAUGAGUCUUCAUGGGUAUGUACUUUAGCAGAUAAUAAAGUAACAAAACAGGCAAUUUCCCCCCUGGAUCCUAGAUUCUCUGCCAUGAUGGAUCAGGAAGAGAGGAAAAGCUAUGAGUGAGAGCCACUUGCUCUGAGUUCCUCAAUUCCCAGUUCCCAGGUUCCUGCUGAUUAUAAGAUGACUCUGCCCUUGUGUGAGAAGCUUCCUGCAAAGAUCCCAUCCUCCCUUCUGAAAAACCUUUUUUUGUUGUUUUCAAAAUAAAGCCCUCACUUAAUAGCUGCUGAGUUCCUAGACCAUCUCUGAUUGCUCUGACUCCAAAUUCUGGAGUCAUAGGGACAUGCGUCUUCAUAUUUUGAUCAAAAAUUUAGAAAUGAUGGAGUUUAGGAUUUAAAGUCAUUGUAUCAGACUAGGAAACCUUUCUUGAUUUGUUGUAGACACCACAGAAAAUUUUUGGACCGAGUCAGAGGACAUCCCAUUAGCUUGACCAAAAACUCUUUCACGACUUGAAGCAAUGCUGACUCCCCUCCACGUUAGGAGUAUGGAUGGCUCUGUUUGUCUGAGGAGUUAGAUCUCUAGCCAGGAUUGUGAGAGGAAGAAUCUGGGGUCCUUCCCAUUAAGCUGUUAAUGCAUGAGGCUUAGGGCUCCACUCAGGGUUAAAAUCAUGUCAAUUAGCAAGCAAAGGAGCAACUAAGGGAGCAUAACCCUGCCCCUGGUUAAGGGAGCCCCAUGUCCCCCACGGAGCCAGCCAGAACCUCAGCAACCUUGUCCUCUUCUCCCUCCUCAUCUAAUCCAUGACAAGAGUGACUAUACCACCGAUUCGUCACACACACGUCCUCCUCUCUGCACAAACCCCGCUGCUCUUCUGCUGGGUCACUCUCAUCACAGGGCUCUGUUCACCUCUGAACUGAUCUGCUUCCUUCCGCUCCUCUAGGGCAUCCUUCGCCUUCUGCCAGAAGCUUCCAAUUGCCAACCCUGUCAAGCUGUUCUCCUUCCACAGCUCCUCUCACAGCUUAACUCAGCCUGACGUGAGCGGCUCUUCCCAGGCUGGCUUCUGUCAAACUCUUCUAGCUCAUCCCCUCCUCUCACCCCUCACCCCAUCUUCUGCUUUUUUGUCUUCCAAAUACACCCCAUCAGUGUUUAUCAAACUCCGAUCAUCGCUACACCGACUUCACGACGAUUACCAUGUUCAUGGGUCACCCGUGUUAUUUUUCGC
rnacentral:lncRNA from 1 species